GCAGUACUCACUUUGGCUUUGCAUAUGCUAAAAUUGGAACCACAUACAGAAGAUUAGCAUGGGCCCUGAGCAAGGAUGACAUGAACAUUCAUGAUGUGACUCAUAUCUUU
ensembl:snRNA U6 U6 spliceosomal RNA